GAGCCCGCCCCUCUCCCAGGCUCCUGCUCCAGGGCGAACCCGGGGGUCCUCUCCCAUGGCUCUGUGGGGGACCCCGGGGAGGUCGCCCUGGCACGGGACACUGUCGCGGGGUAGGACCCGAGAGGGUCUGGGGCGGUCAGGCUUCAUCCUGAGCACCGCCCGGGUGCAGGGAGCGCUGGGUGCUGGGCAAUACUUUAAAGACACAAAGUCUCAACAACCAUCUUCCGCUUGACGAGACAGAUCAUUCUAAUUUGAGCAGAAGCUACUAUGUCCUGCCCUUUGAACGCGGCGGCCCGGACAGCUGACAAGGACACACUGUGUAUUUCCAUUCCAAUUCUGGGAGUGCUCUGAGGCCUCUGGGGGAGAAGGACCCAUGAAAUAUUCAAAACAUAAGUGAAUAAAAUAUCUAGGUGCUAGAUAUGGGCCAGGAAGAGCCCUCGGCCCUGCAAA
rnacentral:lncRNA from 1 species